rnacentral:lncRNA from 1 species
UGAAUCAUAAUUUUGUUUUUAAACUUUUAUUUUCUUUUAGAGAAAAGUAAUAAGCUAUUCGCUUCUCUCAACUGAAAUGGGAGACUAGUGUCUCAUUUAUCCAAAUCUCAUGCUUUAUCACAUAAAAACUUAGAAAUCAUAAGAGUGUAUUAAUUUUUUUGAGAGAAAGGUAGUAUAUUAUCCGUUUCAUUUUUUCAGAAUAAAACUUAGCGAAAAAUGUGAAUCAAUUAGAAUUUAAAUUUCAAAUAUCGGAUAUAAAUUAUUAAAUUUUUUUUAUCACUUGCGGUAGAGACAGUCGGUCGCAAGAAUGUAUUGUUCUAAGAAGAGUUUUUGUAUUUU